rnacentral:misc_RNA from 1 species
GGGUGGUACAGCUCUUGACUAUUCAGACGAUGGUAUUGAAGGAUUUUCUAAGAGUAUCGUGAAGCCUUCUGUUGAAGGUUUAGCUAGCACUGCACUUGAAAUCAAGGAUGAUCGGAUUCAUCAAGAUGUUAAUUGUGGCAAUUCAAUUGAUUCGUUGAAGUCGGAUGCCAAAUUGAAAAUAGAUAAGCAAGAUGAUGUAUCUGGAGAAGCCUUGAACGUCC